rnacentral:misc_RNA from 1 species
CCACCCUCGGUGCUUCCACGAGGCAGUUGCAUUCCACUAGUGCCUUCUGAAACACCUUGUACGCUGGAAGAUGUCGUAACAAAAUCUUUUGGAGGCAGCUCUUGUAUUUUUGAGGGAUCUACUUCCAUAUUGCAAACCUCUACAUGAUCACCCUCACUACUUUUAACAGCUAGCGGUAGUUGCAUCACACCAUGAUCUUGUGCAAUAACCUCCACAUAAUUACACUCAGAAGUGACUGACUGCGAAGGUUCUGACAAAGGAUCCCUUUUAUCUUUAAUCUGGAUGGAUAGAUCUUCAAAUUUAUCAUGGUCAGUGAAAGCCUUGCAAAAAGUAUCAGUAUUACAACCAGUAGUUACAACACCAUGCAGGAGAUCAGCUCCAAGAUUGUUGGUCUUCUUGGAAGCUUCUGGAAAUUCAACACCAGUUUCACCUAUGAAAACCGCAGCUUUGUCUGCCGUAGCAUGUAUGUCAGACCUGUCAGAAAUACCUUCAACCUCAACAUUACUUAAAUUAUCUUGAUUUCCAGAAAUAGACCUAGGUACUGGAGGAUGAUCACCCAAAGCAUUAGGUGUUCCAGAAGUUGAAGAGCUUUUAAUACCAA